GCUAAUAAUAGCAAUGGCUCGCUGGCGAAAUAAUGAGCGGCAAGAGGACUUCUAAGAAGGCAGCUCGCCCCAGAGCGAUUCAGACAGACUUGCUUACACAAGGACUGGCUGGCUGCUCUAGGAGGCCGCAAGCCAAAACCAACAUCAACACCCAGCAGCGCCAGUCGCUCCGAGGGGGCAGUGUAGCCCGAUGCUGAUGAGGUGCAUUGUGGGAAUGAACGAGGAGUCAAGACCUCCAUCUCCCUUUUAAUGUGAAUCUUGUGAUGCCCCAGACCGUGUCUGAGUCACCAGAGGGGCACCCCGCUGGACUCGGCCUGGGCCCUGUGAUUAAUGGGAGUGACAGGAGGCCAGGCUCUUCUAGAAAACAGGCUGGAGGUGAAAACAGUAGACAGUGAAUCAUUAGCUCGGAAUACACCCCCCACUGCUCUAUCUGGAGUCUCACCAUUUCCGUGGAUUACCUGGAGGCUUUACUGCAUAGCUAGGCUCCCAGAAUUGCGUUCCUCCAAAGUGAACUACGUCCUUUUUUUCUGCUAAUGGUAACAUAACAGGCUCACAUAGGCUCCUGUAUUUGAACACUUGGUCUCCUGUUGGAACUGUUUAUUCUGGGAGUUUUGGAGCCUUGCUGGAAGAAAUACAUCACUGGGGUCCAGCUUUGAGAGUCUAUAGAGUCACCCCACUUCCAGUGUUCUGUGCGUGGUUGAGACACGGUGUUCCGGCUCCCUGUUCCUGCCAACAUCCAUGUUGCCAUGUUGCCCCUGCCCUAUGGACUCCAGCCCUCUGGACCCGAAAGCCAAAAAUAAACUCUGUGUAAGUUGCUCUCAGUCUUGGUAUUUUAUCACAGAAGCAGGAAAGUGACUAAUAUUUUUUAAGUGACCUGUUUUCCUAGAUUCUCCUAAUACUUCUUUUCUUUGGUGUUCUGUACUUUUACUCGGCUGUGCCUGGGAUACUGAUGAUAAAGACGAUGAUGAUUCUAUCUGGAAUUUCUUGAGUUUCAUGGUUAUGUGAAUUGAAUAAUUUAGAGAUACCCUCUCCUAACUACUUCUCAAUGGACUUCUAGAAAUGUAAAAUUAGUCAAAACCUUUAGUUCAUAGUACAUCAUCAUCCCUGGAAGAUGAAUGGAUCAUUUUUAUUGAUUAACAUUUUAGUUAGUUAAUUUCAUAAUGUGAUUAGUGCAUGUGAAUUUAUUACUCAAAAUAAAAGCUAGGACAUUUCAAAAUCACCUGAUCUGAGUAGGUUGCCAUCACAUGGUACCAUCCAGCAACUAACCUCACUUCUCUCACUCGAUAUAACUAUCAGUGGGGACAGUCAUCAUUCCUCUACUUUCUGGACAGUUUUAUUAUACUUAUAUGUAGUCUGAAUAGUUUUUAAUUUCAUAAUAAAGAUAUGCUAUAUGUUUUUUACACUUAUCUUGAUAAUUCACUUGUAUUAUUGAAUGUACUGGAGUCACUUGUCUUGAUAAGUCAAAGUACUAUUGGAUGUACUGGAGUUGACUCAUUUGGAAUACUGUAUAAAACUGUAGCAUGCAAAUGCUUAUAAUUUAUUCAUUCCACAAUGGCAAAUCAGGCUGCCAUUGCUAGCUUUCCACUGUUAUGACAGCCGUCCAGGAAAACAGUCCUAGCUCUUCUCUGAGCACCGUCUUCCACUUUAUCAUCUCCUGGAACCCUGACUAAAAAUGUGUUAGUUAGGUUGGUGCUUUCUAUGUAAGUUAAUUCAUUUAACCACAGCUUUUUGGUUUACUAAUUUUUAAAAAAGAUUUAAAACAUUUAUUAUUGCUCCCCACCCCCACGUGUGUGGGGACGUGUUUGCCAUAGUGCACACGUGGAAGUCAGAGGACAACUUUGUGGAGUCAGUUUCUUCUUCUACUGUUAUGUGUGCUCCAGGAAUCAAACUCAGGACUCCAGGCUUUUGCACCAGACACUUUUAUCUGCUGAGCCGCCUCAUUGACUCUGGUUUACUAAUUCUUUAUUCAGCUGUGUUUUACUAAUUUCACUGGCUCUCUUGAUGGGAUUUUUUGCUUCUGUGACCAAACUUCAUUUCUAGAAGUUACAUUUUCCAAAUCUGCUUGAUCUUCAUUGCUUUUGCUGGUAAGCCUCUUUAUUUCUAUAUAGUAAAUGUUUUAAUUUUAUUUCUGUGAUUUAUAUACCCACUACAUCUUUAGAGGGCUGAUUUCACAGACCAUUGUCUCUUAUAUUCUCAGUGUGGCUCCUUUUUUUUUUUCCUCCUUACUUUGUUCCUUGUGAUGUAUUUUCUCUAGAACACUAGGUGAGAAAAGGCCUGGGUGGACCUUGAGGGUUUGGGUUGCUUCUUCUGAUUCUUCUAGAGGUACCACAAACCCAGGAGAAUUGGAUUUUUCACUGGAUCUCAUAUAGACUAGGCUGGCCUCCAACUUGCUACAUAGCUGGGGCUGACCUUGAACUCCUGACCCUCCUACCUCUCCCUCACAUGUGCUGAGAUUACACACAUGUGCCACCCUGCUCAGUUCAUAAUGAGGUUCUUGACUCACACACAGCACGAAUCUGACCUUAAACUCAAAUGUCGGCUUAAAGGCAGACACUGUUAGCCCCUUCCAGCUAAUGCCACAGUUAACACAAGAUAAUUCUCUUGCCAUGUCCUUGCAGAUGCUGUGUUUGUUUCUAACAUGCUCUUAACCCAAGGUGUAGCCUUUUUUUCAAAGGGCAGCCCUGGCAGUCUCUGUAGCACUGGAAGUAUCCUGAAAUUUAUAUCUAGUCUAGGGAUUCUUUUUAGCAACUAUGAUGGGGGCUACUUUGUUCAACAUUUUAAUUAUAACUAUAUGUGACAAUCUAUCAGGGCAUCUGGUCUGCCAUUCUGUUGAAAAGAAGAGCCCUAUCUGUUCCCAUUUAAAACUUCACUCUUUCGAUACUUAAUGCUCAGUCCUAUAUCCUGAUCAUCUACCCCUGAUAAAAUGUAAA